GGUCACAUCACAUUAAAACAUCGGUUCCCAUAUGAUCACCAAGUUAAGCAAUAUUGAACCUGGUCAGUACUUAGAUGUGUAACUGCUUGGGAAUACCCAAUGCUGUAAG